CCUACGGGAGGCUGCAGUGGGGAAUAUUGGGCAAUGGGCGCAAGCCUGACCCAGCAACGCCGCGUGAAGGAAGAAGGCUUUCGGUUUGUAAACUUCUUUUCGCAGGGACGAAGCAAGUGACAGUACCUGCGGAAUAAGCCACGGCUAACUACGUGCCAGCAGCCGCGGUAAUACGUAGGCGGCAAGCGUUAUCCGGAUUUACUGGGUGUAAAGGUCGUGUAGGCGGGAAAGGAAGUCAGUUGUGAAAACCAUGGGCUCAACCUGUGACCUGCAUUUGAAACUGUUUUUCUUGAGUACUGGAGAGGCAGGCGGAAUUCCUAGUGUAGCGGUGAAAUGCGUAGAUAUUAGGAAGAACACCAGUGGCGAAGGCGGUCUACUGGACAGCAACUGACGCUGAGGCGCGAAAGCGUGGGGAGCAAACAGGAUUAGAUACCCGAGUAGUC
rnacentral:rRNA from 1 species